rnacentral:rRNA from 1 species
GACGAACGCUGGCGGCGUGCUUAACACAUGCAAGUCGAACGGAAAGGCCCUGCGUUUGUGCGGUUCUCGAUUGCCGAACGGGGGAGUAACACGUGAGUAACCUGCCCUUGUCUUUGGGAUAACUUCAGGAAACUGGGGCUAAUAUCGGAUAGGAUCUCCUGCAGCGUGGUGGGGAUUGGAAAGUUUCGGCGGUUGGGGAUGGACUCGCGGCUUAUCAGCUUGUUGGUGGGGUAGUUGCUUACCAAGGGUUUGACGGGUAGCCGGCCUGGGAGCGUGGCCGGCGUCCAUGGGACUGCGGUAGGCACCAGAAUCCAACGGGAGGCAGCAGUCGGAAACCUUGCACAAUGAGCGGACGUGUGAUACGGAAGCCCUCCGUGCGGGAAGCCCUCCUUCGGGUUAAAAACCGCUUUCGACUGUGACGAAGCGUGAGUGACGGUAAUGGGUCAAGAAGCACCGGCUAACUACGUG